rnacentral:Y_RNA from 1 species
GGCUGGACUGAAGGUAGUGAGUUCUCUCCACUAUUUGCCCGUGGUCAGUUACAGAUUGAACUCUUUCGUCCACUUCUCCCUUCUCCCUACUGCACUUUACUAGUCGUUA